CGAUGAGUCCAAGCAGCAGGAAAACACUCAGCAGCCCCAAACAGAGAAUAACUGAAUGAAAACUCCUCUGAGAACUCCUCGGACCUUAACGCAGAAAUAAACCAAUUAUCUGUACAGCAGUAAAUGACAGAUAAUAAUGUAUAUUCUAUUUAGAAUCUCUGUCACUUCAUUCUUACCUGUUUGAUUCCUGGAACGUUUUGGGUCGGCAGCUUUGGGAGGUUUCAUGUCAACAUAAAUUUCCUCCAUUGCUCGUAAGGUGGCGGAUUUUUCCUCAGAUUAUCAGGUCUGUAGCACAGACUGCAGUGAGUGUGAAAUGUGAUCGUUUUCAGUUUCUUACAUUCUCAGGAAGUGACAAGUUUCAGAAGUGAU